UGAGGAAUAUUGGUCAAUGGACGAGAGUCUGAACCAGCCAAGUAGCGUGCAGGAUGACGGCCCUAUGGGUUGUAAACUGCUUUUGUUUGGGAAUAAUCGACAUUACGUGUAAUGUUUUGCAUGUACCAUUCGAAUAAGGACCGGCUAAUUCCGUGCCAGCAGCCGCGGUAAUACGGAAGGUCCAGGCGUUAUCCGGAUUUAUUGGGUUUAAAGGGAGUGUAGGCGGUUGGUUAAGCGUGUUGUGAAAUGUAGAUGCUCAACAUCUGACUUGCAGCGCGAACUGGCUGACUUGAGUACGCACAACGUAGGCGGAAUUCAUGGUGUAGCGGUGAAAUGCUUAGAUAUCAUGAAGAACUCCGAUUGCGAAGGCAGCUUACGGGAGCGCAACUGACGCUGAAGCUCGAAGGUGCGGGUAUCGAACAGG
rnacentral:rRNA from 1 species